rnacentral:rRNA from 1 species
UACAGAGGUCUCAAGCGUUUGUUCGGAUUCAUUGGGGCGUAAAGGGUGCGUAGGUGGCGGGGCAAGUUGGAUGUGAAAUCCCGGAGCUUAACUCCGGAACUGCAUUCAAUACUGCCUUGCUGGAGUACUGGAGAGGAGAUUGGAAUUUACGGUGUAGCAGUGAAAUGCGUAGAUAUCGUAAGGAAGACCAGUGGCGAAGGCGGGAUCUCUGGACAGUU